rnacentral:rRNA from 1 species
UACAGAGGUCUCAAGCGUUGUUCGGAUUCAUUGGGCGUAAAGGGUGUGUAGGUGGCGCGCUAAGUCGGGUGUGAAAUUUCGGAGCUUAACUCCGAACUGCGUUCGAUACUGGCGUGCUUGAGGACUGGAGAGGAGACUGGAAUUCAUGGUGUAGCAGUGAAAUGCGUAGAGAUCAUGAGGAAGACCAGUGGCGAAGGCGGGUCUCUGGACAGUUCCUGACACUGAGACACGAAGGCCAGGGGAGCAAACGGGG